CCCAGCGAAAAGAUUGUUUGAAUUUAUAUAAUAUCAAUAUUGAAAGCGUUUAAUUAUUUGAAUUUAUUUCCCUUCAUUUAUUUAGGACACCGUAUAGAAUGACAUACGAUAUUUUUGUUAUGCAAAUUAAGUCCACUUAGUGGAGUUCGGUGCAUAGGUGCGUUGACGUGUCACUCCAUUUUUGAAAGGUUCAGGAGUCAGACGCCAGUAUCGGCCUCCGCAGUUUGGGGGAAACUUUCUGUUGUUUAAUGUGAUUUAAACGUGGUUUUAUGUCCCGCCAGAAAAGAGUAAGUGUUUUUGAAUUCAUUAGAUCCUUUAUGUUUUCCAUAUAUGUCAGAUAAAUUAAAUAAAGUCAAUUUGUAGUGUCUCGAUUUGCCCUGUUUAGGAAUGAGAGCAGGGCGUGUAGGUUUUUGACCCGGUUUUCGGCCCGGUUCCCGGUUCUGGUUUCGGAUUUCCGGUUUUCAGUUUUUGUCUAGAUUCAUUAUAAAUUAUGCUAAUUGAAAGAGUUGAUCCACGAAAGUAAAAAUUGUAUGUUUGUAUUGAGAACUUAUUUGCGAAAUUAAUGAAAAGGAAAAUAAUGAUAUUAUGAUUUUGAUAUAACAGAGAAGAAUAUUAUUCACAUAAACAGAUAAACAUAAUGGACACUAAAUCAAAACAAGUUUUGAUCUGAAAUCAAAUCAUUUCAGAAUCAAGUGAAUGUUUAACUUCAUUGAUGUAUACUAAGAAAGUAUUUGGCUAUUACUCUAAAAGUACAUGUCGUAUUUUAAUUGCUGGCAAAAGAAUUAUUUAAUGUAGUAUAGCCACUUGUUACUGUUUGUGAAAAGAAUUAGAAACAAAUGCAUAUAAGCCUUGACGAGUUAUGAUUUAAGUUGAAUUAUAUACUAGUAUAUGCAAGAUAAGUAAAGUUAUUUUAAAUCAACGUGUGCAUAGCUAAAAGAAAUUGACUAAGUUAAAGAAAGUUGUGAUUAUUCAAAGCUACAAGAAUUUUACAGAUAUUGUUUCUGUUCUUUCGACAUGUUUGAUCAAACAGACAGUAAAUUAUAAUAAUAAUUUCGAUAACAAUUCGGUUUGAUAAUCAUGAUUAUACUGUUUUAAGGGACAAUAGACAAUGAGUGUUCGUGUGUAAAAACAAUGAAAUAAUUACACGUGAAACAAGAUGCAGUGUGAUAAAACAAUCUUACUUAUUAACAUGCUAUUAACUGAACAUCAGUUAUGUAAACAAAGACUUAUUAUUGUUUUAUAUAUUUUGUUCAAACAGAUCGAAUAAAAUAUACGUUUAACGACGUUAUAUAUCGGUACGGCGGGAUGUGACGGUUUGUGUUCCUUCUUUCGACUAUCCAUCGCAUUCGAUUCUUUUUCCUGAUCUGGGUUAGAAGAUAGAGGGAAUUCCGGAAACAAUGGCAACCGAGCAAGCAUAUAGGGAUCUCAAGAUCAAGCGGAGAACGGCAAAGGCAAAACUAACUCGGCUGUCGAAUGGUUUGCAACAUUUACUGGAUGAUGACAGGGAUCUUGAUGAGGUAACUGAUAUGUUUAAGGAUUUGAAUGUUGCUUAUCAGGAAUUGGAGGACAGGCACGAAAGGUAUUGUGAGACAAUCGUAGAUGAUGAGGUAUUCAUGACAGAGGAUGCCUGGCUAUCUGAGUGUCAGACAUCAUUCCUUGACAUGCAGAGAAAGGUUAAAGACUAUGGCAAGACUAAGGUUAAGUCUGACAGGUCAACGGAGGAUUCAGUUGUAAACACGGCUACUCCCGAAGUUACUACCAGUAAAUCGGAAGAGGUUUCGUCAUGCAAGGUUCAGGUAGAGCGACCAAAGCUGCCUCGAUUUACUGGAGACGUACGAGACUACAUGACAUUUAAAUCGGAUUUUAAGCAUCUAAUCGAAUCGAGGUAUAGCAAAAGAGAUGCUAUCACAAUUCUGAGAUCCUCUCUAGUGGGAAAACCUCUUGAUCUCAUACGUGGUUUGGGGAACGAUUACGACUCGGCAUGGUCUCAUCUUGACAACAUUUACGGAGACCCGAGAUUGGUAGCUGAUGCUAUCGUAUAUGACUUGGGGAAGUUCCGACCUCUCAAGGAUGGAGAGGAUGGCCGAUUCUGUGACCUUGUUCAUCUUAUCAGGAGAAGUUACAACUCACUGCAAGAAGUAGGUAGGGCGAAUGAUAUGGACAACAAUCAUAUGAUUUCUUUGAUAGAGAGAAAAUUAAGCAGUGAUGAUAGAAAGCUAUGGCUGAGAUUCAUUGACCGUGAGCGAACAGAUGCAUCACUCCAUGCAUUACUUUAUUGGAUGGAACUGGAAUUGAAGACUAGAAUAAGGGCAUCUGCUCCACUUCGUGACAGUAGAAGUUCUACGAUUGGCCAUAUCUCUCAGGAUGACGGAAGCAAUGAAAGAAAGCCCGAUUUUAAAUGCUGGUUAUGUGAGACGUCUGAUCAUUGGAUCGAUCAGUGCAAGAAAGUGCUUUCGAAAACCCAAGAAGAGCGAUUUCAACUGAUGAAAGACAACAGGGCGUGCUUCAGCUGUCUCAAGAGAGCUGGUAAGGAUCACAACAUGGGGACAUGCAAGCGCAGGAAAAGAUGUAAUGAGGUGAUCAAUACUGGUGAGCAGUGUUCAUCCUACCACCACCCUUUACUCCAUAAGCAGAUUGAGACAGGGAGUGUGGGUGUUGCCAGUAUUACAGGAACAUCUGCGCUUCUGCCUGUACUUAAGAUAAAGAUGGCGGGCCCGAAUGGAAAUUGCGAAGGAAAUUGUCUCCUAGACUCGGGAUCUCAGAUGAGUCUCGUAAGGAACGCAGUAGCAGAAGAGUUAGGACUGAAAGGGAAUCCUAUUGUCGCGAAUGUUACCAAGGUCGGAAAUGAAACAGAGGAAUACAACACUAUGCUGUACAAGGUGAAAGUUCAAGGGAUUAAUGGUCAUCAGAGUUACACUAUUUCUGCGGUAGGACUUGAUGUAAUUAAUAACGGCAUUACCCGAGUUAGUGUUGAAGAACUGGGACGGAUGUUCAACCUGAGGAAAGAUGAAAUUCACAGAGGAAGUGGGCCAAUUGAUAUCCUCAUAGGAAUUGACCAUUCCAAGAUGCAUGUAGGGUACACGAAAAGACAAGGGAAUCUCGUGGCCCGUCGCUCGCCGUUAGGCUGGGUCAUUUUCGGAAGUACUACAGAAGGAUACCCAGAAGGAGCAGUUCUCCAUGUCACGGUAAACAGCCCUUUAGAUCUCCGAAAAUCCUUGACAACAGAAGGAAUGAAAGUAUGUAAUGAUCCACAGAGAUGUCAGCACAGUAGGAUGACUGAACAAGAAGCUGAGGAGUUUCGAGUCAUCAGUUCUUCAUGUGAAAAGAUGGAAAAGCAAUGGCUCGACCAAUAUCCUCGGCGGAAAGACCAGUCGCGGCAUAUUCCCCAGAAUGUGAGUGUCGCAGAUGAAGUCAGCAGAUGUGUUAGCCUGGACAAGCUGAAUAACAGGGAGAUGGAAGGUCUUGACUUUCUUUGUAAAACAGUGACAGAACGGCCCGCAGAAGCAAAGCUAGAGGAAAAGCUUCCUGAGGUAGACAGGGAAUUGCGAAUGGAGAGACCAGUUCUGACCGUACAAGAAUCAAAAUCCCAACAUAGAAUUGACUGUCAGCAAUUGAUUAACUGGAGGAAACUUGUGAGGGUGACUUCAUACGUCCUGAAGUUCAUUGGAAAGUUGAAGUCAAAGUCCAAGAGAAUGGUAGAUGAGGACGUCGAAGUCGCCAAUGGUAACCUGACACCAACUGACAUACAGAAAGGAGAGGACCAUUUGAUAAAGCGUGCUCAGGUAUCUUUGAAGCCCAGAGUAGACAAAGGAGAGCUAAAGGCACUCAAUCCGUAUAGGAAUGAAGCGGGAAUUAUCCGAGUUCGAGGGAAAGUAGAUAGUGCUGACAAUCCAUUAGCCAUGAAGCAUCCGGCUUUACUCCCUUGCGAACACAGGAACUCAACCUUGAUUACUAGGCAUGUUCAUGAGGAUGGUCGUGACGAUGUUGCUAUGACUACUGCAAAGGCCAGGAGAAAGUACUGGAUAUUGAGAGCACAUGAUCUGGCCAAGAAGGUAAAGUUCGGAUGUGCAGCUUGCAGAACUUUUGAACACAAACUAGAAUCACAGGGGAUGGCGGAGCUGCAGAGAGGAAGGCUGCAGUCGCAUCCACUGCCAUUCCAAUACUCAUCUUGCAAUUACCAGAGGCCAAUUUGCAGAAUACCCAUAGAGCCUGAUGAGGGGAUCUACUUAAGUCCUAAUGACAUGCUGUUAGGACGAGCUUCAAUUGAUGUAGCUCAACGAGAAAGACAUUGCGUCGAACUGGUACAACGGAUUGUUGACUCAUUCUUGCGUCGAUGGACCAUAGUUAUUCUGCCACUACUAACAUCCGGACGGAAAUGGAACAGGGAUCGUCAGAACAUUCGCGUGGAUGACGUGGUUAUGAUGACAAACUCCAACGCAGUGCGUGGAAAAUGGACAAUCGCGCGUGUCGUUCAAGCGUAUCCAGGACAAGAGGGUAAAAUUCGCAAUGUGAACGUAAAGACAUUAAAUGCAGAAUAUCCCCGACCAAUAACGUAAAUUGGACUGAUAUGUCCUGCGGAAGAAAUGAAGACUAAACUCAAAGAAGAGAAGAAUCAGAAGAUGAAAGGUGAAGAAAGAAGAUGAAGAAAAAGAAUAGUAAAGUUUAAUGUAAUGUAUGACUCAUGAGACUAACAAUAUCUAAUCCAUCUCGAACUAAUCAUGACAAAGUCUAACAAAAUGAAGAGACUAACCAUAAUGUUAAAUACAACACUGAAUGUAACCAUGGUGACGAUAAUUGCAAUGCAAGUUUAACUAAAUAAGAGAAAGUAAGCAUGUAACUUUGUAAUUUAAUAUUUACUAUGUAACUUUAAUUCAAUAUUGACUUUGAAAGUUAAGGACAGGUAAUAUGUGUUGUUAUGAGGAAACAAGACAUUCCUCAUAGGGCGGGGAGGAUGUUUCGCCCAGCGAAAAGAUUGUUUGAAUUUAUAUAAUAUCAAUAUUGAAAGCGUUUAAUUAUUUGAAUUUAUUUCCCUUCAUUUAUUUAGGACACCGUAUAGAAUGACAUACGAUAUUUUUGUUAUGCAAAUUAAGUCCACUUAGUGGAGUUCGGUGCAUAGGUGCGUUGACGUGUCACUCCAUUUUUGAAAGGUUCAGGAGUCAGACGCCAGUAUCGGCCUCCGCAGUUUGGGGGAAACUUUCUGUUGUUUAAUGUGAUUUAAACGUGGUUUUAUGUCCCGCCAGAAAAGAAUCGAAUAAAAUAUACGUUUAACGACGUUAUAUAUCGGUACGGCGGGAUGUGACGGUUUGUGUUCCUUCUUUCGACUAUCCAC